GGGGGGCCAUCACCACUGGUUUUGUAACAGAACUCAACCUCAAAGGGUUUGCUAAGAAACUCUGGGCUGAAGGAAUCUGGGCAGAUGAACCGCAGUGAUUCCUAUGGAAAAGUCAAAAGCAUUCCUCCUGGCUUUCUUAGCUACCAGCUAUUUCUCAUAUGUUAUUAGUGACUCAUCCUUUAAGGUCAUUUCGUGCAGUCAUUAUCAGAAGAAGUUUGUGCAGAAGAAACACAUAUGCUCCAUAAGGGUCAGCCCACUAUGCGCAACUAAUAAUGUUACAUAUCCUAACUCCUGCGUGUACUGCUUCGCCAGGAUGUAAGUUAAAAUGACAUCCAACUCAGAACCCCUUGGAGAGCCUACUGUGUACCUGAUGCGUAACAGCUCACCGGGACUUGCAAUUUUGAAAAAUGUGUAUCAAUUACUUUCAAUAUGAUUCUAUAAACUAAAAAUUGAUCUUUGAAUUUCACUCUUCGAAUCCAAUACAGUGGAAAAUGUUUGAAGUCCACUUCCUGAUUAUUCUACAUUCAGCAUAAGUGAGACAUUCGAAUCAACCAUCAUCUUUUCUUCAUAAGGCAAAAUUCAUAAUUAUUACCUUUAAAAAUCAAUAAAUUUGAUCUUAUGGAAAUCUCUUUGGCUUGAGAUAAAAUUAAUGAGACAAGUGGAAACUAUGUUUGAUUCUAGAAACAAAACGUGAAAUUUAAAGUUGUCCCUGACUGAAAAAUUUAUAGUUUAAUGAACUAACUCGUUUUCCAAGAAUAUAUUUUCAUGUGAAUCAGAAAUUUGGAUAGGUUCUUGGUUGUCAAUAAUAAAAAAAAAUGCAUGCACUUCUGAAGUUUACUCUCCAGGAAGAAACAAGAAAAUACAUAAUUAUUUAUCAAUAUUAUACAAUGUGAGAAAGAGGAAAGCAACACAGGUUAGCCUCCUAUUAUACCCACGCCUUAUUAUACGAUGAAUAGUUCAUAGAACAUUCAUGUCUGACAAAGUCGUUUUGUGCCUAUGAUGAAUCACAACAAAGGCUGGAUAACUGGUUAAUCAUGUCUGAAUACUGGCAAAACAGGCACAUUAUCUAAGCCACAGAAUAUUAGAUACACCCAUAUAUUAAGACUAGUAAAAUGACUGAAGUUUCACCAAUUAUGAAUUUUUUCUUAGACUCAAUCAUCCUUCCUUCUAAUUAAGAUUUCUGAGGACAUCCAGUUGAAAUAUUGUGUCUACGUUAGGAGAUUACCUAAUCCAAGACAAAGCCUCCUUUUUUUAAAACUUCCUCAAAAUGAGUUCAACAAUACAAAUUCCUACAGCAGGUCCUUUCUAAUGCCUUCUUAUAGGCAUGUUCUCCAAGUUAUGCCAUCUCCAAGAAGACUGUGAUGAGUAGUAACACAAACUUGUUCAACUGUUAGUGUGUUUCUGGUGGCCUUUAGAUUAGGCCAUUUCAAAUGUAGCACUUGAUCUCA